CUUGGCGGCACUAGCGCGGUGGUCCCACCUGACCCCAUGCCGAACUCAGAAGUGAAACGCCGUAGCGCCGAUGGUAGUGUGGGGUCUCCCCAUGUGAGAGUAGGGAACUGCCAGGC
rnacentral:rRNA from 1 species